rnacentral:rRNA from 1 species
GGUUAAGCGACUAAGCGUACACGGUGGAUGCCCUGGCAGUCAGAGGCGAUGAAGGACGUGCUAAUCUGCGAAAAGCGCCGGCGAGGUGAUAUGAACCCUUGACCCGGCGAUGUCCGAAUGGGGAAACCCAGUGCAAUCCGUUGCACUAUCGUUAACUGAAUACAUAGGUUAACGAGGCGAACCGGGGGAACUGAAACAUCUAAGUACCCCGAGGAAAAGAAAUCAACCGAGAUUCCCCCAGUAGCGGCGAGCGAACGGGGAGCAGCCCAGAGUCUGAAUCAGCUUGUGUGUUAGUGGAAGCGUCUGGAAAGUCGCACGGUACAGGGUGAAAGUCCCGUACACGAAAGCACACAGGCUGUGAACUCGAAGAGUAGGGCGGGACACGUGGUAUCCUGUCUGAAUAUGGGGGGACCAUCCUCCAAGGCUAAAUACUCCUGACUGACCGAUAGUGAACCAGUACCGUGAGGGAAAGGCGAAAAGAACCCCGGCGAGGGGAGUGAAAAAGAACCUGAAACCGUGUACGUACAAGCAGUGGGAGCACCUUCGUGGUGUGACUGCGUACCUUUUGUAUAAUGGGUCAGCGACUUAUAUUCUGUAGCAAGGUUAACCGUAUAGGGGAGCCGAAGGGAAACCGAGUCUUAACUGGGCGUUAAGUUGCAGGGUAUAGACCCGAAACCCGGUGAUCUAGCCAUGGGCAGGUUGAAGGUUGGGUAACACUAACUGGAGGACCGAACCGACUAAUGUUGAAAAAUUAGCGGAUGACCUGUGGCUGGGGGUGAAAGGCCAAUCAAACCGGGAGAUAGCUGGUUCUCCCCGAAAGCUAUUUAGGUAGCGCCUCGUGAACUCAUCUUCGGGGGUAGAGCACUGUUUCGGCUAGGGGGCCAUCCCGGCUUACCAACCCGAUGCAAACUACGAAUACCGAAGAAUGUUAUCACGGGAGACACACGGCGGGUGCUAACGUCCGUCGUGAAGAGGGAAACAACCCAGACCGCCAGCUAAGGUCCCAAAGUCAUGGUUAAGUGGGAAACGAUGUGGGAAGGCCCAGACAGCCAGGAUGUUGGCUUAGAAGCAGCCAUCAUUUAAAGAAAGCGUAAUAGCUCACUGGUCGAGUCGGCCUGCGCGGAAGAUGUAACGGGGCUAAACCAUGCACCGAAGCUGCGGCAGCGACGCUUAUGCGUUGUUGGGUAGGGGAGCGUUCUGUAAGCCGUUGAAGGUGGCCUGUGAGGGUUGCUGGAGGUAUCAGAAGUGCGAAUGCUGACAUAAGUAACGAUAAAGCGGGUGAAAAGCCCGCUCGCCGGAAGACCAAGGGUUCCUGUCCAACGUUAAUCGGGGCAGGGUGAGUCGACCCCUAAGGCGAGGCCGAAAGGCGUAGUCGAUGGGAAACAGGUUAAUAUUCCUGUACUUGGUGUUACUGCGAAGGGGGGACGGAGAAGGCUAUGUUAGCCGGGCGACGGUUGUCCCGGUUUAAGCAUGUAGGCGGAGGUUCCAGGUAAAUCCGGUACCUUUUAACGCUGAGGUGUGAUGACGAGGCACUACGGUGCUGAAGUAACAAAUGCCCUGCUUCCAGGAAAAGCCUCUAAGCAUCAGGUAACACGAAAUCGUACCCCAAACCGACACAGGUGGUCAGGUAGAGAAUACCAAGGCGCUUGAGAGAACUCGGGUGAAGGAACUAGGCAAAAUGGUGCCGUAACUUCGGGAGAAGGCACGCUGAUAUGUAGGUGAAGCCCCUGCGGGUGGAGCUGAAAUCAGUCGAAGAUACCAGCUGGCUGCAACUGUUUAUUAAAAACACAGCACUGUGCAAACACGAAAGUGGACGUAUACGGUGUGACGCCUGCCCGGUGCCGGAAGGUUAAUUGAUGGGGUUAGCGGUAACGCGAAGCUCUUGAUCGAAGCCCCGGUAAACGGCGGCCGUAACUAUAACGGUCCUAAGGUAGCGAAAUUCCUUGUCGGGUAAGUUCCGACCUGCACGAAUGGCGUAAUGAUGGCCAGGCUGUCUCCACCCGAGACUCAGUGAAAUUGAACUCGCUGUGAAGAUGCAGUGUACCCGCGGCAAGACGGAAAGACCCCGUGAACCUUUACUAUAGCUUGACACUGAACACUGGUCCUUGAUGUGUAGGAUAGGUGGGAGGCUUUGAAGCGUGGACGCCAGUCUGCGUGGAGCCGUCCUUGAAAUACCACCCUUUAAUGGCUGGUGUUCUAACGUAGACCCGUAAUCCGGGUUGCGGACAGUGUCUGGUGGGUAGUUUGACUGGGGCGGUCUCCUCCCAAAGAGUAACGGAGGAGCACGAAGGUUAGCUAAUCCUGGUCGGACAUCAGGAGGUUAGUGCAAUGGCAUAAGCUAGCUUGACUGCGAGAGUGACGGCUCGAGCAGGUGCGAAAGCAGGUCAUAGUGAUCCGGUGGUUCUGAAUGGAAGGGCCAUCGCUCAACGGAUAAAAGGUACUCCGGGGAUAACAGGCUGAUACCGCCCAAGAGUUCAUAUCGACGGCGGUGUUUGGCACCUCGAUGUCGGCUCAUCACAUCCUGGGGCUGAAGUAGGUCCCAAGGGUAUGGCUGUUCGCCAUUUAAAGUGGUACGCGAGCUGGGUUUAGAACGUCGUGAGACAGUUCGGUCCCUAUCUGCCGUGGGCGCUGGAGAAUUGAGGGGGGCUGCUCCUAGUACGAGAGGACCGGAGUGGACGCAUCACUGGUGUUCGGGUUGUCAUGCCAAUGGCACUGCCCGGUAGCUAAAUGCGGAAGAGAUAAGUGCUGAAAGCAUCUAAGCACGAAACUUGCCCCGAGAUGAGUUCUCCCUGAGACUUUGAGUCUCCUGAAGGAACGUUGAAGACGACGACGUUGAUAGGUCGGGUGUGUAAGCGCAGCGAUGCGUUGAGCUAACCGAUACUAAUGAACCGUGAGGCUUAACCUU